rnacentral:rRNA from 1 species
AUUGAACGCUGGCGGCAGGCCUAACACAUGCAAGUCGAGCGGAUGAAGGGAGCUUGCUCCUGGAUUCAGCGGCGGACGGGUGAGUAAUGCCUAGGAAUCUGCCUGGUAGUGGGGGAUAACGUCCGGAAACGGGCGCUAAUACCGCAUACGUCCUGAGGGAGAAAGUGGGGGAUCUUCGGACCUCACGCUAUCAGAUGAGCCUAGGUCGGAUUAGCUAGUUGGUGGGGUAAAGGCCUACCAAGGCGACGAUCCGUAACUGGUCUGAGAGGAUGAUCAGUCAAAUGGGAAUUGAGACACGGUCCAAAUCCCCAGGGGGGGCAGGAGGGGGAAAAUUUGAGAAAGGGGCGAAAGCCUGACCCAGCCUGGCCCGGGGGUGAAAGAAGGUUUUGGGUUUGUAAAGCACUUUAAGUUGGGGGGAAGGUAAGUAAGUUAAACCCUUGCUUUUUGGCCGUUCCAAAAAAAAUAAGCCCCGGCUAACUUCUG